rnacentral:rRNA from 1 species
UAGUCCACGCCGUAAACGAUGAUCACUAGAUGUUCGGACUUCGGUCUGAGUGUCCCAGCGAAAGCGAUAAGUGAUCCACCUGGGGAGUACGUCGGCAACGAUGAAACUCAAAAGGAAUUGACGGGGGCCCGCACAAGCGGUGGAGCAUGUGGUUUAAUUCGAUGAUACGCGAGGAACCUUACCUAGGCUCGAAUGCGAGUGCUAUCUGCUGAAAGGCGGAGUUUCUUCGGAACACAAAGCAAGGUGCUGCAUGGUUGUCGUCAGCUCGUGCCGUGAGGUGUUGGGUUAAGUCCCGCAACGAGCGCAACCCUUAUUACUAGUUGCCAGCAUUUCGGAUGGGGACUCUAGUAAAACUGCCGGCGCAAGCCGUGAGGAAGGUGGGGAUGACGUCAAAUCAUCAUGGCCUUUAUGCCUAGGGCUACACACGUGCUACAAUGGAUGAGACAGAGGGUUGCUAACCCGCAAGGGUGUGCUAAUCUCUAAAACUCAUUCCCAGUUCGGA